UACGAAGGGGGGCUAGCGUUGCUCGGAAUCACUGGGCGUAAAGCGCACGUAGGCGGCUUCUUAAGUCAGGGGUGAAAUCCUGGAGCUCAACUCCAGAACUGCCUUUGAUACUGAGGAGCUUGAGUCCGGGAGAGGUGAGUGGAACUGCGAGUGUAGAGGUGAAAUUCGUAGAUAUUCGCAAGAACACCAGUGGCGAAGGCGGCUCUCUGGACCGAUACUGACGCUGAGGCGCGAAAGCGUGGGGAGCAAACAGG
rnacentral:rRNA from 1 species